UUCAAUUUUUUAAGUAUCCGA
rnacentral:piRNA from 1 species